rnacentral:rRNA from 1 species
GACGAACCGUGCGAACGUUGUUCGGAAUCACUGGGCUUAAAGGGCGCGUAGGCGGCUAACCAAGUCUGGGGUGAAAUCUUUCGGCUUAACCGGAAAAGUGCCUGGGAUACUGGUUAGCUGGAGGGAGGUAGGGGCGGCCGGAACUUCCGGUGGAGCGGUGAAAUGCGUUGAUAUCGGAAGGAACGCCGGUGGCGAAAGCGGGCCGCUGGACCUUUUCUGACGCUGAGGCGCGAAAGCCAGGGGAG